UACGAAGGGGACUAGCGUUGUUCGGAAUUACUGGGCGUAAAGCGCACGUAGGCGGAUUGGAAAGUCAGACGUGAAAUCCCUCGGCUUAACCGGGGAACUGCGUCUGAUACUGGAUGGCUAGAGGUUGGGAGAGGGAUGCGGAAUUCCAGGUGUAGCGGUGAAAUGCGUAGAUAUCUGGAGGAACACCGGUGGCGAAGGCGGCAUCCUGGACCAAUUCUGACGCUGAGGAGCGAAAGCCAGGGGAGCAAACGGG
rnacentral:rRNA from 1 species